UACGUAGGUGGCGAGCGUUGUCCGGAUUUACUGGGCGUAAAGAGCGCGCAGGCGGUCGUUCAAGUCGCGUGUGAAAGCCCCCGGCUCAACUGGGGAGGGUCACGCGAUACUGAUCGACUCGAAGGCAGGAGAGGGAAGUGGAAUUCCCGGUGUAGUGGUGAAAUGCGUAGAUAUCCGGAGGAACACCAGUGGCGAAGGCGGCUGGCUGGACCUGACCUGACGCUGAGGCGCGAAGGCGUGGGGAGCGAACGGG
rnacentral:rRNA from 1 species